rnacentral:rRNA from 1 species
CCUACGGGUGGCAGCAGUGGGGAAUAUUGGGCAAUGGGCGCAAGCCUGACCCAGCAACGCCGCGUGAAGGAAGAAGGCCCUCGGGUUGUAAACUUCUUUUAUCAGGGACGAAACAAAUGGCGGUACCGCAUGAAUAAGCCACGGCUAACUAGGUACCAGCAGCCGCGGUAAUAAGUAGGUGGCAAGCGUAAUCCGGAUUUACUGGGUGUAAAGGGCGUGGAGGGGGGUGAGCAAGUCAAAGUUGAAAUUCCGGGGCUCAACCCUAGAACUGCGUUUGAAACUGUUCUUCUUGAGUGGUGGAGAGGUAGGCGGAAUUGCGGGUGUAGCGGUGAAAUGCGUAGAUAUACGGAGGAACACCAGUGGCGAAGGCGGCCUGCUGGACAGUAACUGACGCUGAGGCGCGAAAGCGUGGGGAGCAAACAGGAUUAGAUACCCCUGUAGUC